rnacentral:lncRNA from 1 species
ACAAGAUUCAUAUCAGUGAAGAGGAGAUUUUUCUACUCUCUUGAUUGGGACAUUUGAAAACUGAACUGGAUGCUUGGCUCAAAUGCUUUGGUGAACUAAUGCACGUAUGUGGCUCCUCUCCUCCCCCUGAGGUGGAUGGGUCUAUUUAACCUUUGAUUAAUAAUUGCAAAGUUCAACUGCAUUCCAUUGGUAUCACGUGAUGCAAAUGGCCACUAGUACCUCUUCUAGCAGUAAUUUAAAGCAUCAAAACAGAGCCAAUGAGAAUUUUAUUGCUUCACUACAAACUAUGAUGAUUGCAGUUAUUUUUAAAAUCUUAAACUAGUGAAGAUGUAUUUAUCUGAUGAAGUAAAGAACAGGAUCAAAUUUAAGAUGCACUGUCUCUUUCUCCUUCUUAUAUUUAUGUCUAUAAACAAACAAGAAAUAUUCUCCAUGCACUAGUAAUUCUCACAACUGUCAAGGAUCGUCAUGGAUCGUUAUAGUUUCUGCAGUACAAGCCUGUUUUGUGAUACAGUCAUCAGAAAGAUGCCAUUUUGCAUCAAUGGAAUGUAAUUGAACUUUGCAAUUAUUAAUCAAAGGUCAACCGUGUCAUACCUCCUCUGUGGCCAAUUAGUGAGGAAUAAAGAGGGGUGUAGCCUACUCAAGGAAGAAGGUCAUAUUAGUAAAUUGAUUGAGUUACUACAGAAAGAGCCAGACACUUCAAAUGCUAUACUUAAAUAAAAGCAGCUGCUUGGGCUCUGGGUCAUAUUGGUAUUUCUGUUGGUGGGUUGGACCCAUUGCUAGGCGAUGAUGUCAUACAACUGUUAGUUAAAAUAACGGAAUCAUCUCCAGUAGCUACAAUAAGAGGAAUUUGUUUCUAUUCUCUGUGUUUCAUAUCUAAGACUUCUCAAGGAGCAGAUGCUCCUUGACAUGGCUGGACUUCAGUUUGCCACUCCAGUGAUGAGAAGUGGCCUCUGAUCCUCUCUGAGGCCAUAGAGGAUGUUAUUCACAUUCUGUCAUUUCCUAUUUCUCCCAGUUCUUCUUUCAGUGGAGUGAUGUCAGUGAUAGAGGAGAGAGGGAGGACUGGGGACUCUCCUAACAGGGAGGGGGAGAAGAGGAGACAAAGUUCACCUUCUCAUACCAUGUCUGGUAGAGGGAAGAAGAGGAUAUGUCAUACAGUCAGUGCAGUAUCAAUGCCAGUGAGUACCCCACCAUGUAACUAUGUACUGAGGCCAGUGAGACCAAUGGACCUUGGGGAGAAGGACAGAGACAAGUGGUCCACUCCUCCCACUGGUCGUGGUGUCUCCCUCAACAUGACUCGAUGAAACUCUCUCACGUCCCUCAGGCCAGGAUCCACUCAGAACUUUGUGGGUGUGGUCUUACCUCUGGAACUAAGCAACUUAUUUAAAUUUAAAGAAGACUCUUAUAAAGGUUUGAUCUAGAGCUGAUUAUGUGUCGACUGAUUUAUUUGAUGAUCAGCAUCACUUUUUACUGGACAGUUUAGUAAACCACACCCACUUGAGCCCGCCCCUUCAGCCUCCAACACAAACCAGCAACAAACAAGGGAGAAUGGUGUAUUUGUUCUGAAGCAUCAUCCAUUAAUGGAGUUAUAACUCCAUUAAUGGAUGAUGCUUCAGAACAAAACUGAAACUGAUGAUAAGAAGAUUUUAGGAUCAAGUUAUGAUCAUUACACAUUAUUACAUAUACAUGUACAUGUAUAUUCUAUCAUUACUUCUACCCCUUUAUCUUCCUCCUUCAGUGUCCAUUCUCGUACCAGUAUAUCUUCUGGUUCUGUUACAUUUUGAUGAAAGCUCAUAUGAAGGACAGUUGAUACUACACAGGGAGUUCUUAGAGAUUGUUUAUUAAUUAUCUUUGCUCUGAUAUCAGUCUUAGGAAGAAUGUUCACCAUCUUAACCUUUAGUUGUGUAAUAUGUCCCCUUGUCUCUCCCAAGACUCCUCCCUCUACUGGAAGACUAUGACGUUACUGUCAUUAUUUCAUUGCACUGCAGACCAACAGGAAAUUAAUAGUCUAAAUGAUGCUGGAAUGGGAGGGGAAGGGGGCAUGGGUCAAAGAUGAGGGAGAGAGGGCAAGGGAGGAUCAGAUCCCGUCUUUGGCAGAGGCAAAAAACAGGUUGAGUCAAUUGGAACUUGACGUGGGGACCUGGUGGUCAUUGAUCUAUGAAUAAUUGAUUAGUUAUUUAUUAAUUGACAGGGUUCUAUCUAGAAAUUUUUGUUUGGGGAGGAAGCCCAAAGUAGUUGACCGGGGGGGAAGGUUGUGUACAUACAUGUGUAUGUACAUGUACAGUACAUGCAUGCAGUUACAGAAGUACACAGGGGGGAAGCUUAAAGUUUUUGGGGGGAAGAUGAAGAGUUUGGGGGAGAAGCUUCCCCCCCCCACUGGAUAGAACCCUGAUUGAUUGUUAAUUCAUUAGUUUGUAUGCAUGCAUAAUCUUCAUUUUAUUUCAUUUUUCAUUGACUUUUUGACUUUUUUUUAUUUAGCUAUUUUCUGACAAUUUUGACUAAUUUUUGUUCCAUUAUUAUAGCUAUUGCCUUUUGAAUUUUAAGACAAGUUUUGUAUUUAAAAUGUUGUAAUGAUAUUAUUGCCUUUAGUAAAGGAUCUUUUGCUAAAUUUUAGAGCAGCCUUUAAAAUUUUUGAUAGUUUUCUGUAUUAAAAAAUUAUUUGCAUACUUUUAAACAUAAAAACAAUAUUAAUAAUAAUAAUAAUUAAUAAUUGUUGUGGUUUAAGCUAUUCUUAUUUGUUUGCCUCCAAUGUACAUGUACAUAGAUAUGUGAGGGUUUAGGGUUUAGAUUUUGAUGUUUUUAUUAGGGUUUUGUGUUGGUGGUUGUGUGGGGAGCUUUGAUGAUGUCUGUGUGUGAACUCUUAUUAGAUUAGUGAACUUUUAAGCUUGGUUUUGAGCCACUUGCAGCAAGAUAAAACUGAUCUGUUGUCCAGACACUUCUCCAGCAGCAAAAAUAUUUAAGAGAAAAAAUCUUCUUCAUCUGUGUAAUAAUCUUUAAUAAAAAUUGGAAAUUACUACAAAACUUUUAAAAUUCCUGCAAAACCAGACCAAAGUCCCUGUAGUAGAAUUUUUAAAAAUUGAAAAGGAAUGCAGAAGAUCAAGCAAGAGAAUACACUCCUGAUAAAGUAUCUGAUUUCCUAGCCAGCAUCAAACUUGGGCAGACAGGGCAGUAUGCCCAAGCUUUUCUUAAUGAGGAAAUAAAUAGGUCACAACGUCUCUCUGCCGAUCGCAAAGUAUUUUCCGAUAUUGAAGCAGUUAUAGCACUCACAUUAUGGUACAUUUAGAUGAGAGUACAAAGUAUUGACAGCGAGGAACCCUUUUAUGGCAUUCUACUUGAACAUCAGGAGGUGGUGAACUAAAUUAGAACAAUAAAUUAGUUUCUCCAGUCUUGAUGUAUACAUGUUAUAAGGAAUAUCUUUUCUAAAGCUCUGGAUAAAAACAAGUUUAAGGAUGUUCUUAAAGAUUUGUCAAUGACCACACCUGUUGGAAAGAGUCACUCUCCUCUUAACUACAUUGCUUACUCUAUGCCUGUUUAAUAAAAGUUAUUGUCAUUGAUGUUGCAUAUACUUAUAAAAUUAUAGACUUUAUUGUUAUCAUAGUGAAUUGUUAAAUAUAUUUUACUAGCAAGCUCUGCAUGUUGCAUCUUU